rnacentral:rRNA from 1 species
AUGACUAGGGAUAACCUUAUGAAGAGACACAUCAUCAAACCCCUUGAUUGUGUUUACUGCUUGGAACAAGAGUCUUGUUCUCACCUAUUUUUUAAAUGUAUAGUUGCUAAACAUCUCUGGGCCCAUGUUGAGGAAUAUUUCUCUAGUCAGAUUGGCUCAUCCUUCGAAUCUGUCGCCAGAUUCUGGAUUGCUACCAAAAAGAGCUCAGUUUUAAACACUGUUAGCUCAGCUGUCCUUUGGUGCCUCUGGAAAUAUAGAAAUGCUAUGAUUUUCAGUAACACCUCCUGGAUUUCCAUUCCACGGUCUUGA